rnacentral:miRNA from 10 species
AGGGACUGUCGAAUGGGAUUUG